UGAGGAAUAUUGGUCAAUGGACGAGAGUCUGAACCAGCCAAGUAGCGUGCAGGAUGACGGCCCUAUGGGUUGUAAACUGCUUUUGUUUGGGAAUAAUCGACAUUACGUGUAAUGUUUUGCAUGUACCAUUCGAAUAAGGACCGGCUAAUUCCGUGCCAGCAGCCGCGGUAAUACGGAAGGUCCAGGCGUUAUCCGGAUUUAUUGGGUUUAAAGGGAGGGUAGGCGGUUGGUUAAGCGUGUUGUGAAAUGUAGAUGCUCAACAUCUGACUUGCAGCGCGAACUGGCUGACUUGAGUACACACAACGUAGGCGGAAUUCAUGGUGUGGCGGUGAAAUGCUUAGAUAUCAUGAAGAACUCCGAUUGCGAAGGCAGCUUACGGGAGUGUUACUGACGCUUAAGCUCGAAGGUGCGGGUAUCGAACAGG
rnacentral:rRNA from 1 species